CGCGCCGCGGCCGGUUUACGUCUCGCGCCGUGGAAUGCGUGCUUCUUCCUUUUCUCUUUCCCGCUUCACCGCCAACUUUUAUUGGCCGAAGCAAUUAAUUGUAUGAUCACGUGUUACUUCUAUGCGCGAUAUGGCUCGGCCAUAUUGACUUUGCCGUGGUACACCAACCCUGGUAUCACAUUAAUAUGGGAAACACAAAGGAGAAUCUGAGAAGAAUUGGAGAAGAGAUAAAAGAAUAUAAAAAAGGAAAACGAAAAGCGCAAAAGAAAAUAAGAGGAUAAAGCAAAACGUUUCUUACUACGUCAAGUAUAAGAUAGGGUGGUCUUCAUCCGCAAAAGUGCCCCACGGGAGCUGCGUCAACGUCUUACAGAAGAAGCAGAACCCCCUUCGUUUCCCGAUCCUUUUGGCCUUUCAAGUUACCUCUUCACGGAUCUUCACGGAUGGGCAAGAUCACAACGGCAACGAGUUUUCUGGACGGACGUCACUCAGAUUCCGACCUUCUACCAUUCUUCUUUCCCGUUAUGAUUUAUGGAUUCAUUAAUGCAACAUACAACACUUUCUCGGCGCGGGAAAAAGGAACGUUGAUUAACCGUUUUAUUUUUGGUGCUGAAGCAAAUAUUCAAAUUUGUCGCGAGUUACGAAUGCGAAUCGGUUGCCGUGCCGAAGAACAGAAAAGGAAAUCCACGGACUAUCGGCUGGAUUAUUAUUCCAAGCAUGCCUCUCGGACGUCCAUUGCUUCUGAAACAUUCCACGAUACGAUACAUGGUGUCAGUCGAAGACCAACGCUUCUUCGUGAACGUGCAAGUGUGGCGCGAUCGGGAUACGCUUGCGAACAAUAAUCUCGCAGAAGGUGUCUAGUCAGUCUCUACGAAGUGUAAGCUGAUUGGUUUAACGAAGACCUGCUCAAAGUUCCGAAAAUGAUCAGGAGGCAGAGAUCCUCAUGUUCGUGUCAGAGAUUCAUCCACAUUCGCAACUUUAUCCGAUGAUGAGACGUAAGCAAACUUUAGGAAGACAUAUUGCGUGUGAGUUGAGAAUGACAGGUGGAAAGGUGGUUGAAUAGUAUAUGACAUGGGGCCGAUGUUAUGAAGAGACAAAUAGUACAGUUGCGAUUUAUCGAGUUAGAUCCCAAAUCCUCCUUUGUGUAAUUUUAAUUCUCUAGCAUGUAGCGUGCAUUAAUUGCUCCUCGUCUCUUUAUCUACUUUUGAUUUACUUAAUAUUGUGCUAGAAAGACUUUUAAUAUAUGUGCUGCGCAAGGAGAAUUACGAAUUGCUUUCAAAUAAAGUAUA